UGUAUUAUCUAAUACAACGCUCAAAACGAUAUAUCUACACCGCUUCUCCUCCUCCAUUGUUCUCUGCCUUUGCCUACAGCUUUUUCUCCAUCUACGCCGCUUCUCCCUCUGCUUUUUCUCCAUCUACGCUUCUUCUCCCUCUCUAUCUCUGCAAGACUAUUCGUGAUCUAUCUCACGUCGAUUGCAAGUAAGUCUUCUCAUUUUCUUCCUUUCUUCAUGGGCAGCUGCUGAUCAUAUGUGUUUCUUUUCCUUUUGCCGACUGGGUUGGUUGCAACCACGGUGUUUUUUUUCUUUUUUUCCCUUACAUAACCGUAAAAGAAAAUUAAAGCAUUGCUUUUAUUAUUGUUUCAAUUGUAUUUUAUUAUUUCUUAUUGUCUUUUGUAUCUAUUGGGAAGAAGAAAAGCAUUUAAUGUGAGUGAUAGCAAUUGUUUAAUACUA